CUGUAUUUCCAAACAUGUUAACAUUUCAAAAAUCAUUACGAUGACUGUUAACAUUAGAUAUCUACUCCAGUUUUUCGCAUACAAUAUCCGUUAGUGAUAAUAAAAAUUCACAAAGAAUACGGGACACAUUGUCUCUGAUAUUUUUAAAAGAAGAAUUCGAUGACCACAAUCAUCGUCGUUGGUGAACAAAAAAACCAAACAACUUUGAGGGUGAUAUUAAACUGGAUAAUAAAACAGGAGAAGCUAAGCUGAUCAUGGGGAUUCCUUCUAUGAACAUUGACGUUCCCUAUUGGGUGUUGGAUACAGAUUAUAAAGAAUACGCUGUAGUAUGGUCCUGUAUACAGGAAGGAAAAUUUUCCGUAAGGUUCUGUUGGAUUCUCACCCGUAAAAAUACUUCUAGGAAAGAAAUAAUGGAAAGAGCAUAUGAUGUUCUGAAAAAACAAAAUAUAUCAAGGCGUCCUAUUGAGAAGACAAGUCAAAAAAAUUGUAAAGCAAACUGAAAAAUGUGAAACAGAAUAUAAAUCUCACCAUAUCAACACCCAGUUUCGAUGUUCUUUUUCGUAUAUGAUCACAUGACUGUACAACUGGAUUCCUGAUGAAUUUGUAAGAUUAAAUAUUUUGAGUUUCAAGCGACGAACUAAAAGAAGACUCCACGAAUGUGAGCUGAACUUUUGACAGUUAUUUUCUGUACUCAAAAAACUUUCCCUUUUUUUUUAUUGUUGCAUUCUAGUACCACUUUUGCAAUUUUGUUUUUUUUCCCACCCAAUGCUCAAUUUUCCAUAAAAGGUAGUCAUUUCAUGAUUACAUAUGUAUAAGGAAUUUUAUUGUUGAGUCCUGCACUCUAGCUAUAGUUACCAGUUUUUUUUUUUGGAAGGUUGAGUGGAAGAGAGUAUUUGUCUGUCUUCUGUGGUACCGACAAAAGUUAACCUCUGCCUUUUGGUUGACUUCCUUCAUCUGUUCCUUUUUUCAUCAUGUGUUACUUGUAUUUUUCUACCAAUAAAAACGUUAAUUCUUAUUAUUAUUAUUGUCAGCAAAUUAAUGAAUAAAUAU
rnacentral:misc_RNA from 1 species